CGCAAACAACCAACAUGGCGGCCCUCUCUGCUUCGACUCCCGCGUUGGACGCCGCGUCGGUGUUGCCGUUGUUUUCUCGAUCAAGCCGUGCCUAGAGGGCACACAGUAGCGGCAGGAUGCCCAAGCGGGCGCGCAUCAAGAACAACGGCGAGGCAGCGCCGCCUCCGCGAGCCUCUCCGCGGGUGGCCAAGCGGCAGAUGCUGAGCGAGCAGUCGUCCGAUGAAAACCACACGAUGGUGCGCAAGUGCGAGAAAGUGAGC